rnacentral:tRNA from 1 species
GAGGGUAUAGCUCAGUGGUAGAGUAUGUGCUUUGCACGCACAAAGUCCUGGGUUCUAAUCCCUGGUACCUCCU